UACAGAGGGUGCGAGCGUUAAUCGGAUUUACUGGGCGUAAAGCGCGCGUAGGUGGUUAAUUAAGUUGGAUGUGAAAUCCCCGAGCUUAACUUGGGAAUUGCAUUCGAUACUGGUUGACUAGAGUAUGAGAGAGGAAGGUAGAAUUCCAGGUGUAGCGGUGAAAUGCGUAGAGAUGUGGAGGAAUACCGAAGGCGAAGGCAGCCCCUUGGGAAGAUACUGACGCUCAUGUGCGAAAGCGUGGGGAGCAAACAGG
rnacentral:rRNA from 1 species